rnacentral:rRNA from 1 species
AUACGUAGGGGGCAAGCGGUAUCCGGAUUUACUGGGUGUAAAGGGAGUGUAGGCGGUCUGGCAAGUCUGAUGUGAAACUCCGCAGCUCAACUGCGGAACUGCAUUGGAAACUGUCAGACUAGAGUGCAGGAGAGGAAAGUGGAAUUCCUAGUGUAGCGGUGAAAUGCGUAGAUAUUAGGAAGAACACCAGUGGCGAAGGCGGCGUUAUGGACUGUAACUGACGCGGAGGCUCGAAAGCGUGGAGAGCAAACAGGAUUAGAUACCCUGUUAGUCCACGCCGUAAACGAUGAAUACUAGGUGUCGGGUGGCAAAGCCAUUCGGUGCCGCAGCUAACGCAAUAAGUAUUCCACCUGGGGAGUACGUUCGCAAGAAUGAAACUCAAAGGAAUUGACGGGG